UAAUACGGAGGGUGCAAGCGUUGUCCGGAUUCAUUGGGUUUAAAGGGUGCGUAGGCGGCCCUGUAAGUCAGCGGUGAAAUACCCACGCUCAACGUGGGAACUGCCGUUGAUACUGCGGGGCUUGAGUUCGUGCGAGGUCGCUGGAAUGCGUGGUGUAGCGGUGAAAUGCAUAGAUAUCACGCAGAACACCGAUUGCGAAGGCAGGUGACUGGCACGCGACUGACGCUGAGGCACGAAAGUGUGGGGAGCAAACAGGAUUAGAUACCCUGGUAGUCCACACCGUAAACGAUGGAUACUAGGUGUCCGGGUCUUCGGACCUGGGUGCCCAAGGGAAACCGAUAAGUAUCCCACCUGGGGAGUACGUUCGCAAGGAUG
rnacentral:rRNA from 1 species